AGGCCAUGGUACGGAUAGACUCUUAGUAGCUCUUUAUAUCUCUCCCAAGCUUCAAAAAUAGAUUCUCCUUGGUUUUGAUUAAAUCUAGUUAUUUGGUUUCUAAGAAC